rnacentral:rRNA from 1 species
CCUACGGGGGGCAGCAGUGGGGAAUAUUGCGCAAUGGGCGAAAGCCUGACGCAGCGACGCCGCGUGAGGGAUGAAGGUCUUCGGAUCGUGAACCUCUGUCAGCAGGGAAGAACGGUCACUGUGCUAAUCAGCAGUGAAUUGACGGUACCUGACUAAGACGCCUCGGCUAACUACGGGCCAGCAGCCGCGGUAAUACGUAGGGGGCAAGCGUUAUCCGGAUGUACUGGGUGGAAAGGGAGCGUAGACGGUGCAGCAAGUAUGAUGUGAAAGGUCGGGGCCCAACCCCGGGACUGCAUUGGAAACUGGUGAACUGGAGUACAGGAGAGGUAAGCGGAAUGCCUAGUGUAGCGGUGAAAUGCGUAGAUAUUAGGAGGAACACCAGUGGCGAAGGCGGCUUACUGGACUGUAACUGACGUUGAGGCUCGAAAGCGUGGGGAGCAAACAGGAUUAGAUACCCGUGUAGUC